GACGAACCGAGCGAACGUUGUUCGGAAUCACUGGGCUUAAAGGGCGCGUAGGCGGGUUCUCAAGUCUGUGGUGAAAUCCCCCGGCUUAACCGGGGAACUGCCGUGGAUACUGGGAGUCUCGAGGGGUGUAGGGGCAUGCGGAACUCAGGGUGGAGCGGUGAAAUGCGUAGAUAUCCUGAGGAACGCCGGUGGCGAAAGCGGCGUGCUGGACACCUUCUGACGCUGAGGCGCGAAGGUCAGGGGGAGCAAAGCGGGAUUAAGAAACCCGGAG
rnacentral:rRNA from 1 species